GCGGACGUAGCCAAGUGGAUCAAGGCAAUGGAUUGUGGAUCCAUCACGCGCGGGUUCGAUCCCCGUCGUUCGCCCA
rnacentral:tRNA from 1 species